UACAGAGGUCCCAAGCGUUGUUCGGAUUCACUGGGCGUAAAGGGUGCGUAGGUGGUUAGGUAAGUCCGAUGUGAAAUCUCCAGGCUCAACCUGGAAAUGGCAUUGGAUACUAUCUAGCUUGAGGAGUGGAGGGGGGACUGGAAUUCUCGGUGUAGCAGUGAAAUGCGUAGAUAUCGGGAGGAACACCAGUGGCGAAGGCGAGUCCCUGGACACUUCCUGACACUGAGGCACGAAAGCUAGGGGAGCAAACAGG
rnacentral:rRNA from 1 species